rnacentral:rRNA from 1 species
UACGAAGGGUGCAAGCGUUACUCGGAAUUACUGGGCGUAAAGGGUGCGUAGGCGGUUUGUUAAGUCUGCUGUGAAAUCCCCGGGCUCAACCUGGGAACUGCAUUUGUGACUGCAUGGCUAGAGUACGGUAGAGGGGGAUGGAAUUCCGCGUGUAGCAGUGAAAUGCGUAGAUAUGCGGAGGAACACCGAUGGCGAAGGCAAUCCCCUGGACCUGUACUGACGCUCAUGCACGAAAGCGUGGGGAGCAAACAGG